CCAGACUCCUACGGGAGGCAGCAGUGGGGAAUCUUCCGCAAUGGGCGAAAGCCGGACGGAGCAACGCCGCGUGAUCGAAUGAAGGCCUUCGGGUUGUAAAGAUCUGUUGACAGGGACGAAUAAGCAAUGCGAAUAGUUUUGUGUAUGACGGUACCUGUUUAGAAAGCUCCGGCUAACUACGUGCCAGCAGCCGCGGUAAUACGUAGGUGGCAAGCGUUAUCCGGAAUUAUUGGGCGUAAAGAGCGCGCAGGUGGGUAGUUAAGUCUGAUGUGAAAGCCCACGGCUUAACCGUGGAGGGUCAUUGGAAACUGGUUGACUUGAGUGCAGAAGAGGGAAGUGGAAUUCCGUGUGUAGCGGUGAAAUGCGUAGAGAUAUGGAGGAACACCAGUGGCGAAGGCGGCUUCCUGGUCUGCAACUGACACUGAGGCGCGAAAGCGUGGGGAGCAAACAGGAUUAGAUACCCCGGUA
rnacentral:rRNA from 1 species